GCGAAAACUUUACAAUGCUGGCAACAGCGAUAAGGGAACCUCGAGUGCCAGGUUACAAAUCUGGCUGUCGAGAUGCCUAAAAAGCAUUUCAUAGCAAAGGCCGGGCAAGACCGGUGCCAGCCGCCGCGGUAACACCGGCGGCUCGAGUGGUAACCGUUAUUAUUGGGUCUAAAGGGUCUGUAGCCGGCCGGAUAAGUCUCUUGAGAAAUCUGGCAGCUUAACUGUCAGGCUUUCAGGAGAUACUGUCUGGCCCGAGGCCGGGAGAGGUGAGAGGUACUUCAGGGGUAGGGGUGAAAUCUUGUAAUCCUUGAAGGACCACCAGUGGCGAAGGCGUCUCACCAGAACGGACCUGACGGCAAGGGACGAAAGCUAGGGGCACGAACC
rnacentral:rRNA from 1 species